rnacentral:tRNA from 1 species
GCCCGGUUAGCUCAAUCGGUAGAGCGUGGGACUUUUACAAUCUAUCGCUUUGUAAUCCCAAGGUUGCGGGUUCGAGCCCCGCAUCGGGCU